rnacentral:lncRNA from 1 species
UCUGAUGGAAAUGCUGAGAGGAAAAAUGAAGCUAAAAAUUACAAUGAAGUGAUGUCCACCCUUCCAAAAGUUAAAGGCUUGAGGGGGGAUGAUUAUUACCUGUACCAAGGCUUUUGGUACGCUCCCUUCUUCUUGGAAAGACUCAUGUCUGUUCAAGAGCACUUCCAUCCUCAAUCCACUGAUAUAUUUGUCGCCAGUUUUCCAAAAACUGGCACAACUUGGCUUAAGGCCCUCACUUUUGCUAUUUUCACACGAUCCCGUUUAAGUGGUUCAACAACUAGUUCUUUACUUUCCAAGAUGCCACAUGACUGUGUUCCUUUUUUGAAUUAUAACCUUGCUCAAAACCCCAGUAAUCGGGACUUGACAAUUCCUCUGCUAUCUACUCAUGUUCCUUACAGUUGUUUACCUAAAUCUAUCAUUUCUUCUUGUUGCAAGAUUAUUUACAUUUGCAGGGACGCAAAGGAUGCUUUUGUUUCUUUGUGGUACUUUCAUGCCACGUUGCAAAGGUCGAAAAAUGUUGAGCCUCUUCCUCUGGAAGAGGCUUUUGAGCUGUUCUGCAAUGGAAUUGCAAAUUUUGGACCCUACUGGAACCAUGUUUUAGGGUACUGGAGAGCAAGCUUGGAGUUCCCCGAGAAGAUACUGUUCUUGACAUAUGAGGAAAUGAAGAAAGACACCGCUGCUCAUGUUAAGAAAUUAGCUGAGUUCAUGGGUUGUUCUUUCACCCUAGAGGAAGAGGAGGAAGGGGAGGUGCAAAAGAUAAUAGGCAUGUGUAGUUUUGAGAAGUUGAGCAACUUGGAGGUGAAUAAAAAUGGGAAGUGCCUUCUAGACAUAUCAAUUCCUAUUCCAAAUAGUAUAUUCUUCAGGAAAGGUGAGAUAGGCGACUGGGCAAAUCACUUGACACCUGAAAUGGGAGCACGUCUAGAUGACAUAAUGGAGCGGAAGCUCAAGGGUUCAGGCUUGAAGCUGCCCAGGUGACUGUGCCUGGGCCCCGUUUGCUUAUUAUUAUUGGCUUAGUGGGUUCGUCAAAAGCUGUUAUCAACAUCUCGUGAAACAGCAACCGUGUAUCCCAAUAAAUACCCUCUCUGUUCAUCUCUUGUAUUUCCUAGCAAGUAUUCACAUUUUGUGAAUCAUCCAUGUCAAUAAGCAAUAUUCUUUUGUGAAUCUGUGUUUGUAACUUUCAUUGAUUUCCUUGCAAGUUUGUAAGAAUUAAAAAUGGGAUUCGUUUUUUAUUUAUUUAUUUAACACAAGUGCAUGCAUUCCAUUAAUCAGUGAUAAAAAAAAAUAAAAUUACUCUACUAUAUAAUAUUAGAGUGUUUUCUUCACAGAAAUUGCAGUGUGUUUUCUUCACACUGCAAUACAUGUUUUAAAAGAACCGAGACAACCAUACAUGAGGGCGGAGCAAAUACCAACCGAGACAACCAUCCAUUAAGAUUGUUGAAUUGAAGAUCAAAUGAACAUAGGCGGCACAUCUGCUGAAAGGAUCUCGAAAUGCCUUGUAAUUGGUUAAAAUAAAGAUCAAGAUCUGUAGGAGAACUCGUGUUUUCCACUCCUAAAAUAAGCCCAGUUGCCGGCUUCAUGUGCAACAGAGGCACAUAGAGAAUCUCCCCCCCCCCCCCUCCAGGCUCAGAUCACAAAUCUUCUUACUUCAAACCAAUCUUUUGGAACCGAUAUAUAUGUCGAGUGAUGGCUUGAUUUAUACCGGAGAUUGUGUUGGAAAAUUAAAGAAGCAUGGCUUAAUUUGUACCUUGGAUGCGCAAAUUGAUUACAGGAAAAUAUCAAAAAAAAAUUUCCUUUCUUUAUAACUUAUGAAGAGUAAAAUAAAAAAAAAGUUAAUAGUAAAACAAAAUAACCCCAAGUGUACAUUAUCAAUGCAAAACUAGAUUUUUCCUUAUUUUAUAUCCCUUUCUUUUGAUAUACUUCUUCUUUUAUGCCCCUUUCUUUUGGUAUAUCUCUUCUUUGUAUCUUUUGGUGUUAAUCACUUUGUUGAAUGCCUCUGUUGAUAUCUUUUAUAACUCACUACAGUGAUUUGAACAUUGAAAAUGUUUCCUUUUAAAAAAAAAAAAUAGAGAAGGCAUUUUGAUUUCAUCUUCAAUUUUUCUGCAUGUCUUCUUCUUUCAAAGUAUUGGGUUUAAAACACAAUCAUGCUCUACAUCAUGCUUUGAGUUUUCCAGGUUAUUUUCAGAAAGAUUUGAUAUAUUUGACCUGAAAGAAAAAAAGGAUGUACAAAGCUUUGCAUUUCUGGAACGUCUUUUCAUCAUGCUCUACAUGAUUCAAUCACAUUGCUCACAUCUACAUGAGUAACCAGAAAAGCAAGUAUUUCAUCGGAUUCUACAUGAUUCGAUCACUUCGCUCACAGCUUUAUGAGUCUCUGGUGAUAUCGUGUUUAAUUAAAUAGAAUAUUUAUUAUAAGAAACAGAUUUAUCAAAUAUAAUUGAGUAUAUGCCUCAUCAUAUCAAAUAUUUUAAUUAGAUGUAACUAUCUAGGUGGUGGUUCAGUGGUAAAAGUUUGGGACCAAGAUGUUUGUUCCCUCUGUGGUCUCAGGUUCGAGCCCUGUGGUUGCUCAUAUGAUGGUCAUUGGAGGCUUACAUGGUCGUUAACUUCAGGGCCCGUGGGAUUAGUCAAGGUGCACGCAAGCUGAUCCGGACAUCCAUGUUAAACUAAAAAAAUAUAUAUAUUUUAAUUAGAUGCGUGUGUACAAGUAUUUUAAUUUAUGAUUAAGAAUUUUUUUAUAUCAAAAAAAAAUUAAAAAGUCUGUAUAUUUAUUUUUCCUUGUUAAAACAAUUAUCUGAAAUAGCCAGUAAUCAACUAACUAUGAAAGAUAAGAUUGAGAAUUGAGAAGUUUAUUUGUCAGCAGACAGUAGCUUCAGUAGAUGGAAAAAGACUCUCUAGAUCACCGGAUCAAUUCCCACCUUCAUGAACUAUUUUUUAUUAGUACAGAAAGCUUCAUAUCAGUCAAAACUCUCUCUCUCUCUCUCUCUCUCUCUCUCUCUCUCUAAAUGGAUCAGAGACUACACAAAUAUAGAGGUGGAGCUUCACAUUAAGCUUCAGAUCAAUUUUCUAUUUUAAAAUCUCAUAAGUUUGGUCCAUUGAUUGCCCUAGAUUGCCCUAGAUUUUCCUGUGUUUUAUAUCCUUUUCUUUUGACAUUUUUUUUAAUCUUUUUCCAGGCCAAAAUCCUAAUUUAAUGUUUGAAAUUGAGAUGAUAAUUAUUUAACUAGAAAAUAUAUUAAAAUAAUAUUUUUUAUUUUUAAAAAUUUAUUUUAAUCAUCACCACAUUAAAACAAUCUAAAAUUAUAUAAAAAAAUUAAAAUAAUAAGAUUUAAAAAUAUUUUUUAAACACAAAAACAAACACAAUCAUCACUCAUAUAUCAUGAGAUUUGCAUUUAGACAUUAAAAUUCAAGAAGAAAUUAAGUUCACCGUACUAUUAAUUCAGUCGAUGAAGGAUUAGUCCCAACUACUUUAGGCCACCAUUAAUUACUUUAUUUAAAUGUAUACUUCUUUAUUAAUUCAGUCGAUGAAGGAUUAGUCCCAACUACUUUGGGCAUUUUAACUCCAUCUUCAAUUACUUUAUUUAAAGGUAUCCUUCUUUCUUAGAUAUUGAAUUUUGAAAACACAAUCAUGCUAAAGAUUUGUCAACGAAUUGUUUUUUAAAAUAAAAAAAUAUUUUAAAAAAUAAUUAAUACCAUACUACCGAGCAAAUGAAGUUAUGUGGAGGGUUCCGCACCAUUUAAAGGUUGUAAAGAAAGGUUUAAAACACAAUGACGAUAAAGAUUUGCUAUCGAAUAUAAUAUGAAAUAAUAAUACCCAAUUGCAUCAGCGGACAUGUGAUCAACAAUAUUAAAAUUCUGUAAAUUUUGAUUUAAUUCAAUUAUUGGAAUUCCAGGCAGCGUGGCAAUGUCAGAAAAUCUUGGACGAUGGUGACUAAAUGUUUGUAAAUGGAGACGGCACGUUCGCGGAAGGUAAUAGUCGAUGGUGCCAAAAAUUAAAUCAGCUCUCAACUCGUUACAAAUAGCUGCCAUGGCCUUUCAUUCUACAUUAUUUUUUCUUUUUUCACAUUCAUGGAAUCCUCUUUGCCUUCCACCCAAAUCUUGGAUUCUGGUGAAAGUGCUGAGAGGAAAAAUGAAGCUAAAAAUUACAAUGAAGUCAUGUCCACCCUUCCAAAAGUAAAAGGCUUGAAUGGGUGUGAUUAUUACCUGUACCAAUGCUUUUGGUACGAUCCCUCCUUCUUGGAAGGAAUCAUGUCUGUUCAAGAGCGCUUCAAUCCUCAAUCCACUGAUAUAUUUCUCGCCAGUUUUCCAAAAACUGGCACAACUUGGCUUAAGGCCCUCACUUUUGCUAUUUGUACACGAUCCCGUUUAAGUGGUUCAACAACUAGUUCUUUACUUUCCAAGAUGCCACAUGACUGUGUUCCUUUUAUGGAAUAUGACCUUGCUCAGAACCCAAGUAAUCGGGACUUGGCAAUUCCUCUGGUAUCUACUCAUGUUCCUUACACUUGUUUACCUAAAUCUAUCAUUUCUUCUUGUUGCAAGAUUAUUUACAUUUGCAGGGACGCAAAGGAUGUUUUUGUUUCUUUGUGGUACUUUCUUGCCAGGCUGCAAAUGUCUGAAAAUGUUGAGCCUCUUCUUCUGGAAGAGGCUUUUGAGUUGUUUUGCAAUGGAAUUGCAAAUUUUGGACCCUACUGGAACCAUGUUUUAGGGUACUGGAGAGCAAGCUUGGAGUUCCCCGAGAAGAUACUGUUCUUGACAUAUGAGGAAAUGAAGAAAGACACCGCUGCUCAUGUUAAGAAAUUAGCUGAGUUCAUGGGUUGUUCUUUCACCCUAGAGGAAGAGGAGGAAGGGGAGGUGCAAAAGAUAAUAGGCAUGUGUAGUUUUGAGAAGUUGAGCAACUUGGAGGUGAAUAAAAAUGGGAAGUGCCUUCUAGACAUAUCAAUUCCUAUUCCAAAUAGUAUAUACUUCAGGAAAGGUGAGAUAGGCGACUGGGCAAAUCACUUGACACCUGAAAUGGGAGCACGUCUAGAUGACAUAAUGGAGCGGAAGCUCAAGGGUUCAGGCUUGAAGCUGCCCAGGUGACUGCGCCUGGGUCCCAUUUGCUUCUGAUUAUUGCCGAAGUGGGUUCAUCAAAAGCUGUUAUCAACAUCUCGUGAAACAGCAACUGUGUAUCCCAAUAAAUACCCUCUCUGUUCAUCUCUUGUAUUUCCUAGCAAGUAUUCACAUUUUGUGAAUAAUCCAUGUGAAUAAGCAAUGUUCUUUUGUGAAUCUGUGUUUGUAACUUUCAUUGAUUUCCUUGCAAGUUUGUAAGAAUUAAAAAUGGGAUUCGUUUUUUAUUUAUUUAUUUAACACAAGUGCAUGCAUUCCAUUAAUCAGUGAUAAAAAAAAAAAAAUUACUCUACUAUAUAAUAUUAGAGUGUUUUCUUCACAGAAAUUGCAGUGUGUUUUCUUCCCACUGCAAUACAUGUUUUAAAAGAACCGAGACAACCAUACAUGAGGGCGGAGCAAAUACCAACCGAGACAACCAUCCAUUAAGAUUGUUGAAUUGAAGAUCAAAUGAACAUAGGCGGCACAUCUGCUGAAAGGAUCUCGAAAUGCCUUGUAAUUGGUUAAAAUAAAGAUCAAGAUCUGUAGGAGAACUCGUGUUUUCCACUCCUAAAAUAAGCCCAGUUGCCGGCUUCAUGUGCAACAGAGGCACAUAGAGAAUCUGAAAGCAGUUUUUAUGCACUAUCAGCAGAAUAAUUUGAUCAGUCAGAAUGAUCCCCCCCCCACUAGGCUCAGAUCACAAUUCUUCUUACUUCAAACAAAUCUUUUGGAACCGAUAUGUGGAGGGAUGGCUUGAUUUAUACCGGAGAUUUUGUUGGAAAAUUAAAGAAGCAUGGCUUAAUUUGUACCUUGGAUGCGCAAAUUGAUUACAGGGAAAAAAAUGACAGAAAGUGAGUUGCAGGGAAUGAAAAAGGCAUUAGUAAACUCAACAGCUUGCAGGGCAUCGUUCCUUGGUUUACUCCGUUUUAUUUCUUAUUUUGUUUUUCCUGCCAUUGUCUUAUGUUUGUCUAACUCGCAGUCUGGUCUCUGCAGAGAAUGAGAAAGCACAGACUCUUUAAGAGAAGAUAUUCUCCGGCAAUGGCAUCAAACAGAAAAGUCCGACGUUAACUAAAUGAGUUCAUGGGUCUCUUGUCUGAAUAUAGAAGUGCAGAAACUAAGCUUGACCAAAAACCCCCAUGCUACCAACUACAACUCAACAAGCAACAAAUCAAAUGAAUUGUGAUCCGCCAGUAAACAGCGAAUGGACACUGCCCCAGCAAUAGAUCAUACAAGCUCUGACCAACCGGUCAAAGAUCACGAGGACCCUACCCACUGCCCACUGACUGACAAUUCAUCAAAUAGAUUUAUUGCCGUUCACCACCUUAUUUAGAUGUAUUUUUAAAUAAUAUCCGUGAACUCAAAAAAAAAUCACUCAAAUAUCUCCCUAGAAAACUGACCUUGAACUCUUAACUAGGAGAAAAACAAAGAGGAAAAAUAGAGCUUAUAACAUAGGAAACUACGCUGAAAACUGAGGUGAAAAAAAGUGUAAGAAAUUCUGUAAAAAUGUCCAGAAACACUUUUUAUCACUUUUUACAGAGGAUUUUGAAACCUAAACCAAUGUAGAUUUACUUUUAGUAAUUAUUAAAAAUUAAUUUUUAUCAUUAUCAAUCUUAAUUAUCCGUUAUAAAUUAAAAUUAACCUUAACCCUUUUAGCUUUAAAUAUAAUGCUUUGUUAGAAUUAUAAAAACCAUUCAAAUUGAAAAAAAUUGCUUAGGCUGAAAAAAGUGUUCAGACUCUAUAUUCAUUGACAGUACAAACUGAUGGAUUAGAAAGAAAAAAAAUAUAUAGGCCAAAAAAUUAUAAAUCCAAACCCAAGUUUAAAAUAUAUUGAUAAAAAUUAAUUAUUUAUAGUUUACAAUAAAAUCAGACUUGGGACAAGCAAGCCAAUUAAGCAUGGGACUUCAACUCAAAGUUUACUUUACUUAGGUUUUUUUUUUUAAUCUGAGUGUAUUUUAAUCCAAUUUUAAUUCUUUAUAUUUUUAAUAUAUAAUUAACAAUAAAAAUGUUGUUUUUUUUACGUGAAAUAAAGGUUUUGAAUUUCACAAAGAUAUAUUCAUCAACAAAAUUAAAUUUUUAUUUAUUUAUAAUUUAUUUUAAUUAUUUUAAUAUUUUAUGUUAAAGAGAUUUGGUUGGAGAAUAAGUUUCAAUAAAAUUUAAAUCCGAAAAAUAAGUAGAUUUUAUUUUUAAUUUUAUUUCAAAUAUAUUUAUUUUUUAUGUUUUAAAACAAAUUUUAUCUCAUCUAUGUAUGUAUAAAUAUAUAAUCACAAUUCUCAAUACAGCACUUAUAGUUAGUUAUCGAACGAAAGAAUGUUAUCUCUUUCAGUAUGCCACAGAUAUUCAAAACACGGCGGUCACCCUUAUUAGCUUGCAGUCGUCUAUCGAAGUAUUAUCGCCAAAUCCACAGAAGCAAGGCAAACCACAGUUUUCUCUAGUUAUAGGACUAGACGGUACUGCGCUAGACUGCAGGUUUACAAUAUUUUUUCGAUAAAAUAUUUAAAUCAUGAGAAAAUCAUGCAUGAUUAAAAGAGUAAAAUUCAAAUUAAAAAUAUCAAUACAUGACAAAAUAAAAUUAAAAAAAAUUAAAUAAAAUUUUUAUAAAAAAACUAGAAUAAAAGAGAGGACUGAAACCGAAAAAGUUUAAACAAAAAGGACAUACCUGCAAUUUGAGGGGGGGAGGGAGGAGGAGAAAAAAAAAGGUUCAUCAACAACGAACUGCUCGACCUUCACCUACAUGUAUCGCACCAUGAGAAAGAGGAAGCAGUGAUGCUUCCAACAACACAAUAAAAUGUUUAUUUUUACAACUAGAGGUAUUGCAUGCUAUACUUGAAGUGCUAGCUUUUUAAAUUUUAAUAUUAUUUAUUUUUUUGUUAAAAGAUUACAAUGCGCAAACUAAAAAGAAAAACAAUAUAAAAAGAUAAAGUAUAACCUUGACCUAAAGCUUUUCUUUUUCUUUUUACUUCAAGGAUAUUUAAGUAAGUUUAGUGUACAUUCAAAAGCAUUUAAUGAAAUACCCUUCGACCAAGGUUUUUUUUUUUUUUAAAGUAUAAGACACUUAACAAAAUAAUAAAUAACAAAAAUUAAAAACUUAAAAAGACAAAAAAUACCCUUCGACCAAGGUUUUUUUUUUUUACUCCAAAGCAUUUAAUGAAUCUCGCCCAUAACGACAGCAAGUCUUUAAAAAGUGGAUUUCCUGAUGAAACCUGGAUAGUAUCAGUGCCAGCUCGAGCUCAGAAUGCGGCAUCUAUUGAUUAACUUACCAGUUACCAACACAAGGAGACACACACAACAACUUUAAAAAGGGCAUUAUAUAGCUAAACAUUGAUUAUUAUUUUUAUUUCAUUUUUAAUAUUAUAUUAAUUUUAAAUAUAUAUAUUUUUAAUUUCUCCAUUCAAUAACAAGUUGAAAUUCAUAAUUUUAUUUAAUUCAUUUCUUAUAAUAAUUUUUUUCCCAUCGUUUAAUUAAAUAAAAUAUUUAUUAUAAAAAAUAAAAUUAUUAAACAUAAUUGAGUAUAUGGCUUGUAUUUUUAGGUUAAAUAUUGUAAUUAGAUGUGGGUAUAAGCAUUUUAAUUUAUAAUUAAAAAGAAAAACUAUAUCCAAAAAAGAAUUUAAAAAACCUGUAUAUUUAUUUUUCAAUUAUCUAACCUGCAGCAGUGAAGUGCAAUUGAAAUAGCUAGUAAUCUAACUAAAAAAUUUAAGAUAAGAUUAAGAAAUGAGAAGUUUAUUUGUCAGCAGACAGUAGCUUCAGUAAAUAGAAAAUAUAGACUGUACUGCUGCUGAUCCCGGGAUCAAUGCCCACCUUCAUGGAUUAUAUAUAUAUAUAUAUAUAUAUAUAUAUUCAAUGUGAGAUAUUAAGUCAUUUAGUACAUACUAGUUAGAUGACUUGUGCGGUGCUGCGAGUUAAUUUUUUUUGCAUAAAAAUAUAUAAAAAAACUAAAAUCUAAAAGUAUUAGGUCUUUUUGCAAAGUUAUACCCAAGAAUCUUGGGUUUGGCUGCAACGCCUGACCCAAGAGUAAUAUUUAUAAUAUUAAUUAUAACAUUAAACUUGCAUGACUCAAGUUUAAAUGAGUCUAGAUGCAAUACCAUACCCAAUAGUCUUGGAUGUGGGUCUGGCUGCAAGGUCGUGUAAUAAAAGUGUGAUAAUUAAAUAGAUUAAUUAAAAAUAAAAAAAACAAAGAAAAAAACAAACAUGAAGAAAAAAACUAAUGAAGAAAAAGAAAAAAAAUUUGAAUUAACUGGGUUAACCCUUCAAACCAGGUUAAUCCGUCAAACCUUGGAUUCGUGUCGUGAAAGUUUGAUAACUAAAUAAAAAAAAAAUGAACAUUAACAAACUAAAUUAAAUGAAAAAAAUAAUUAAAAAAAAAAGCAUCAGCCUUUUCACUGUGGACUGCACUGUGCAGUCCACAGUCAAAUGCAUAAAAACAACAAAAAAGCAAAAAGAAAAACUAAAGGCAUCAAUCGAUAACUAAAUAGAAAAAAAAUUUAAUAUUGAUGAACUAAAUUAAAUAAAAAAAAUUAAAUAAAAAGAAGAAAAAACUUAUAAGAAGAAAAAAACUAAUGAAGAAAAAGAAAAAAAAUCUAAAUUAACUGGGUUAACCCGUCAAACCUGAGAUCCGUGUCAUGAAAGUCUGACAACUAAAUAAAAAAAAUUUAAUAUCAAUAAACUAAAUAAAAAAAUUAAUUUAAAAAAAAGGCAUCAGCCUUUUCACCGUGGAUUGCACUGUGCAGUCCAUAGUGAAAGGCAUGAAAAUAAAAAAAACAAAAAAAAACUAAAGGCAUCAGCCUUUUCACUGUGGACUGCAUAGAAUAUUAAAAGAUGAAAUCGGAAGAACAAAACUAAUGAGGAAAAAGAAAAAAAAAAUCUGAAUCAACUAGGUUAAUCCGUCAAAUCAAGUUAACCCGUCAAACUUGAAAGUGUGAUAACUAAAUAGAAAAAAGAUUUAAUAUUAAUGAAAUAAAUUAAAAAAAGAUUAAUUAAAAAGGAAAAAAGCAAAGAGAAAAAAGACCAACAGGAAGAAAAAAACCUAAUGAAGAAAAAGGAAAAAAAUCUGAAUUAAGUGGGUUAACUGGUCAAACCUGGGAUUCGUGUCAUGAAAAUCUGAUAAUUAAACAGAAAAAAUUUAAUAUUAAGAAACUAAAUUAAAAAAAGACUAAUUAAAAAAAGACAAAAAAAAACUAAAGGCAUCAGCUUUUUCACUCUUAAAAAGGAAAAGAGAGAAAAAUAAAAACAAAAGCAAACGCCACGGGUUAAUUUUUUUUUUCUUGCAUAAAAAAUAUUAAAAAAAACUAAGAUCUAAGAGUAUUAGGUCUUUCUGCAAAGAUAUGCCCAAGAGCCUUUGGUUUAGUUGCAACGCUUGACCCAAGAGUAAUAUUUAUAAUAAUAAUAAUAAUAAUAAACUUACAUGACUCAAGUUUAAGUGAGUCUGGCUGCAAGGUCGUGUCAUAAAAGUGUGAUGAUUAAAUAUAUUAAUUAAAAAGAAAAAAACCAACAUGAAGAAAAAAACUAAUGAAGAAAAAGAAAAAAAUAUGAAUUAACUGGAUUAACCCUUCAAACCAGGUUAACCCGUCAAACCUGAGAUUCAUGUUAUGAAAGUUUGAUAACUAAAUAGAAAACAAAAUUGACGGGUUAACCUGUCAAGCCUGGGAUACGUGUCAUGAAAGUCUGAUAAUUAAAUAGAAAGAAAUUUAACAUUAACAAAAUAAACUAAACGAAAAAAAAUUAAUUUAAAAGAAAAAAAGUAAAAAAAAAAUUCUAGGUUAACUCAUCAAACCAAAUUAACCCAUCAAAUCCGGGAUCCGUGUCAUGAAAGUCUGAUAACUAAAUAAAAAAAAUAACAUUAACAAACUAAAUUAAACAAAAAAAAUUCAUAAAAGAAAAAAAAACACAGAAAAAAAACAAAAAAAACAUAAAGGCAAAAAAAACAAAAACAAAAUUAAGUGAGAAUUACUGAUGUGCUUUGCCAAGCUUUGCAACAGAAAUCUCAAGACAUUUUAAAUGCUAUGCAUUUGCUGACUACCAUAAAGACUUUAAUUCAGAAGUUAAGAGAUGAUGGAUUGGAAACUCUUUUAGAACAAGUGACAUCAUUUUGUAAGCAUAAAAACAUUGAAGUUCCUGAUAUGGAUGCUUGUUUUUCUAGUGUGGGACGAUCUCGCUGUAAAACAAAAUCAAUAACAGUUGAGCAUCACUAUCGAGUUGAUAUAUUUAUAGCUAUCAUUGAUCAAUAGUUGCAAGAGCUAAAUAAUAGAUUCUAUGAGCAGGCGAUCGAGCUUCUUAAGUUGAGCAUAGCUUUAGAUCCUAAAAAUAACUAUAAAUUAUUCAGUGUUGAAGAUAUAUGCUAACUUGUUGACAAGUUCUAUCCUGAAGACUUUUCUGACCAAGAAAAAACUCAUUUGAGAUUUCAGUUGCAGCAUUAUGAGCUUGAUGUACCCAAUCAUCCAAAGUUAAAGAAUAUGUCAUCGAUUGCUGAUUUAUGUCAAGGACUGGUUGAAAUAGAAAAAUCAACAAUUUAUCUACUCAUUGAUAAGUUGAUUCGACUUAUUUUGACUCUUCCUGUUUCGACAGCAACUACUGCACGAGCUUUUUCAGCGAUGAAGAUUGUUAAAACAAGACUUCGCAAUCGGAUGGAGGAUGAUUUUCUUGCAAAUUAUUUGAUUGUCUAUAUAGAAAAAGAAAUUGCUGAAAGAUUCACAAUUGAUAUGAUAAUCGAUGAUUUCUACUCCAUGAAAGAAAGACAAAAACAAUUAAAAUAAAUAUGUAAGAAUCAUUCUUUAUUACUUUUUAUUUUAUUUAAAAGUUUUAUCAAACAUAAAUAAUGUAUCGCUUUAGCUAAUGUUUCUUAUAUAUUUUGUAUGUUUAUAUUUGAUAGGUACAAAAACCAACAAAAUUAAAGUGAUGAAUACAUUAUGAAGAUGAAAUUAACUUCAUAGCUUUGACUUAAUUUGAUAUUUGCUUUAAACAUCUUAUCUUAUACAAAAAUCAUAAUAUGUUUGUAAUUACUUUUUUGAAUAAAACUAAAUCAUGUCGUUUUUGUUUUUGUUUUUAUUUUUAUUUUUAUGUAAAGUAAAUUUUUAAAUAAAUUAUAUCUUUUAUUAUUUUAACCCCCAUUCAAAUAAUCCCAGCCCCUGACCGCAAUAACAAUCAAAAUAAAAUCUAAUUCUACCGGCUGCUAAGAAUACUAAAAUAGUGUAAAUUUUGACUUAAUUCAAUUAUUAGAAUUCGGGGCAGAUAACAGUGUUGAAGAAAAUGUCAGAAAAGUAGGGUAAACAGUACAAAUACCUUGGAUGAUGGUGACUAACGCCGUUUGUUUACGCGGGCGCGGGUGCGGUUGCCUUUUAAUUAAUAAAUAUCGGUAGUUGGAGACUUCUUGUUCUCGAAAAGAAAUAGUUAAUAGUGCCAAUAAUUAAUCUGCUCUCAACUUGCUACAAGCUGUCAUUACUCAUUACCAAAAUAUUAAAGAAACAAAUAUUUCCUAUUAGUAGAAAAGCGAUCUAAUAAAGCGAUUGUUCAGUUGACGUUAUUGAAUUGCUUUUUUAUAAAAAGUUAAUUUUUAAAUAUUUAUAGAUUAUUUUAUAUAUAAAUUUAAAAAAAAUCUUAAAAAAUUUAAAAAUAUAUUUUAAUAUAAUUAAAAAAAACAUUUGAAAAACAAUUAAUAGUAUAGUCUCAGGUCUCAACCACCCAAAAUAUACAUUUGAAAAACAUUUUAUAUACCUUGGAUUAAAUUGUGUUGUAGGUUCCACACCAUUUAAAGCUUGCAAAGAAGGAUUUAAAACACAAUCACGCUAAAGAUUUGCAAUCCAAUAUAAUAUGAAAUAAAACCCCAUUGCAUCACCGGACAUGUGAUCAAUAAUAUUAAAAUACUGUAAAUUUUGAUUUAAUUCAAUUAUUAGAGCUUGAGGCAGCGUGACAAUGUGAAAGAAAAUGUCAGAAAAUCUUGGAUGAUGGUGACCAUAUCAGUAAUUUGAGACAGCAAGUUCUCGAAAGGUAAUAGUUGAUGGUACCAAAAAUUAAACCAGCUCUCAACUCGCUACAAAUAGCUGCCAUGGCCUUUCGUUCUACAUUAUAUUUCUUUUUUUACUUUCAUGGAAUCCUCUUUGCCUUCCACCCCAAUCUUGGAUUCUGGUGAAAGUGCAGAGAGGAAAAAUGAAGCAAAAAAUUACAAUGAAGUAAUGUACACCCUUCCAAAAGUUAAAGGCUUGAGGGGGAAUGAUUAUUACCUGUACCAAGGCUUUUGGUACUCUUCCUUCUUCUUGGAAGGACUCAUGUCUGUUCAAGAGCACUUCAAUCCUCAAUCCACUGAUAUAUUUCUCACCAGUUCUCCAAAAACUGGCACAACUUGGCUUAAGGCCCUCGCUUUUGCUAUUCUUACACGAUCCCGUUUAAGUGGUUCAACAACUAGUUCUUUACUUACCAAGAUGCCACAUGACUGUGUUCCUUUUUUGGAAUAUCACCUUGCUCAAAACCCAAGUAAUCGGGACUUGGCAAUUCCCCUGCUAUCUACUCAUGUUCCUUACAGUUGUUUACCUAAAUCUAUCAUUUCUUCUAGUUGCAAGAUUAUUUACAUUUGCAGGGACGCAAAGGAUGCUUUUGUUUCUUUGUGGUGCUUUUUUCCGCGCAUCAAAUGUCGAAAAAUGUUGAACCUCUUCCUCUGGAAGAGGCCUUUGAGAUGUUUUGCAACGGAAUUUCAGUCUUGGGACCAUAUUGGGACCAUGUUUUAGGGUAUUGGAGAGCAAGAUUUGAGUUCCCUGAGAAGAUAUUGUUCUUGACAUACGAGGAAAUGAAGAUAGACACCGCUGCUCAUGUUAAGAAACUAGCUGAGUUCAUGGGUUGUUCUUUCACCUUCGAGGAAGAGGAGGAAGGGGAGGUGCAAAAGAUAAUAAGCAUGUGUAGUUUUGAGAAGUUGAGCAACUUUGAGGUGAAUAAAAAUGGGAAGCACCGUCCCGUCCGGACACAUCAAUUGCUAUUCAAAAUAGUUUAUACUUUAGGAAAGGUGAGAUAGGCGACUGGGCAAAUCACUUGACACCUGAGAUGGGAGCGCGUCUAGAUGACAUAAUGGAGCGGAAGCUCAAGGGUUCAGGCUUGAAGCUGCCCAGGUGACCGUGCCUGGGGUCCCAUUUGCAUAUGAUUAUUGCCGAAGUGGGUUCAUCAAAAGGUGUUAUCAGGAUGUCGUGAAACAGCAACUGUGUAUCCCAAUAAAUACCCUCUCUGUUCAUAGCAAGUAUUCACAUUUUGUGAAUCUUCCAUGUCAAUAAGCAAUAUUCUUUUGUGAAUCUGUGUUUGUGACUUUCAUUGAUUUCCUUGCAUGUUUGUAAGAAUUCAAAAUGGGAUUCGUUUUUUUUUUUUAUUUAACACAAGUGCAUGCAUUCCAUUCAUCAGUUUGAUAAAAAAUAAAUUUACUCUAAUAUAUAAUAUUAGAGUGUUUUCUUCACAGAAAUUGCAGUGUGUUUUUCUUCACAGCUAUACAUGUUUGAAAAGAACCGAGACAACCAUACAUGAGGGUGGAGCAAAGACCAACCGAGACAACCAUCCAUUAAGAUUGUUGAAUUGCAGAUCAAAUGAACGUAGGCGGCACAUCUACUGAAAGGAUCUCGAAAUGCCUUGUAAUUGGUUAAAAUAAAAGAUCAAGAUCUGUAGGAGAACUCGUGUUUUCCACUCCUAAAAUAAGCCCAGUUGCCGGCUUCAUUUGCAACAGAGACACAUAAAGAAUCUGAAAGCAGUUCUUAUGCACUAUCAGCAAAAUAAUUUGACCAGUCAGAAUGAUUUUUUUCCCCCUUACUAGGCUCAGAUCACAAUCCUUCUUACUUCAAACAAAUCUUUUGGAACCGAUAUGUCGAGGGAUGGCUUGAUUUAUACCGGAGAUUUUGAUGGAAACUUAAAGAAGCGUGGCUUAAUUAUACCUUGGAUGCGCAAAUUGAUUACAGGGAAAAAAUGACAGAAAGUGAGUUGCAGGGAAUGAAAAAGGCAUUUGUAAACUCAACACCUUUCAGGGCAUCGUUCCUUGGUUUACUCCCUUUUAUUUCUUAUUUUGUUUUUCCUGCCAUUGUCUAAGUUUUUCUAACUCGCAGUCUGGUCUCUGCAGAGAAUGAGACAGCAAAAACGCUUUAAGAGAAGAUAUUCUCCGGCAACGGCAUCAAACAGAAAAGUCUGACAUCAACUAAGUGCGUGUUUGACACUCCGGUUAUGUUUACAUAAAAAACAUCGUUGUCAUGUGUUUGGUUACAGUCUAAACAUAAUUUUCUGUUUGUGAGACCCGUUAUCAUUUGCUUUUAAACCGCAAGAUAACCAAAAGCAACUUCAAGCUGCCUUUUGUGUUGAGUUGCAAACUUUAUAAACAAAGGCCACAAGAAAAAGAGCAGAAACAUAGCAGUGAAUAGUAAACAGUGGAGAGUAGCUCCCUCUCACCACCGGCAUCCACCGUUUCCACCGCCAGCCACUGCUCUUCCUCUUCCCCUUCUCCUUCUCCUUUAUCUUCUGCAUUGUCCACUGUUCACGUUGCAUGUGAACAGUGGAGAGCAGCUCACCACCGGCCUCCGCUGUUUCCACCGCCAGCCACUACUCUUCCUCUUUCCCUUCCCCUUCUUCUUCUUCUUCUACAUUUUCCACUGUUCACAUGAACAGUGGAGAGCAUCUCCACUAUUCAUGGCCGGAUUGGGUCUGACCCAAACCUAAAUGCAUUGGACUGGGUCCGACCAAGUAAAAUAAAAAAAUCUAAAAACAUUUCUUAGAUAUUGUGUUUUAUUUGAAAAACUAGUGUUUAAAAUUAUUCAAUGACACUAUAUAAUUAUAUUAGAAGGAGAUCGCAUGAUGACAUAGCAUUUGCAGAAUUUGAUUGCAAUCCCAAUUUUGUUCCUAAUGAUAUUUUACCUGAUGUGAUGAUAUUUUACCUGAUGUUGGUAUACGUUCAAGAAGCCAUGAAAACUGUAGUUCUUGUCGGAUGGAUUUCGUACGUGAUUGAAUUGCAAAUAGUUUAAUAAAACAAUAAAAAAUACUUUAUAUAAAGUAUUGUUUAUUUCAUGAUUUAAUAGCAGUAGUUAAAUCUAUAAUAUUUCAAUUAAAAACCAUCAAUAUUAAUAUAUGUUUUUUUUAAUUAUUUUAUAACCUUAAUUUGAAAAAUAUUCUUUAAACCAAACACAUUAAACUACUUUUUGUUCAACCUCAAUUUCAACCACAAUUUUAACCAAAUAUAUAUUUUUUCAAACCAAUCUCAACUAAAAGUAAUUUUUAUAAAACAACUUUUUCAAACUAUAACCACAACAGCUACCACAAUACCAAAUACACAUAAAAAAAACUGUAAUGAUAAGCAAGUUAAAGUGCCACCAUUGAUUUAGGAUCUGCUUUAGAUCUUAUAAGGUGAAAGUAAAACACAAGGAAAUGCAUGCAUGCACACCACUAAUCUUUGAUUCUGGCGAGAACAGUGAUGACUACACUCAGAACCAUAUAGAAUUACAUUCCAAGAUGAAGAAAUUAAUAACAGAGCAGUGCUAUAAAGCUAAAUGUGAGAACCAAAGAUUAAUAAGCAAUGCUGAAAAUUUUAUCAUGCAUAAGAUGAGAGAAGCACAGGACAGAUUUUAUCAAAUCUAUAGUUUUUCUUCAAUAAUAAUAAUAUUUUUUAAAAAUUUAAUAAUAAUAAAAAAAAAAAACUCAUGUUCCUUGGCUCUUUCUCUUGCCAAACUGAAGCUACCAUAGUCAAAUCCAAGUAACUUAGAUGUCACGCUCUUGCUAAACCCAAGUUAUUUGGGUAUGACAUCUCAUGCUGGACUCAUAGCAUUCCAGAUCAAAGGUGUUGAUAUCUAACAAUAAUACCUCACCCGAGCCCUAAGAUGUGAUUGCUUUUCUAGACCCGAGGGCCAAGGCACCAAGACACUAUUCACUAUAAGUCAAGUCAAUGAAUCAAUCAAUCGAUUUUAAAGAUCAAGUUUUUUUUUUAAUAGAGAAACAAAACUUUUAUUAACAUUGAAAUAACUCUUAAAAUCUUAAUAAAAUUAAUUUGAAGUAAAAAUAAUAUUAAAAGAAAUAUUCAGAAGCACUUUUUGAUUGUAAAAUCAAACACACUAAAAUCAUGUAGAUUUUCAUUUAGACAUUAAAAUUCAAGAAGAAAUUAAGUUCACAGUACUAUUAAUUCAAUCGAUGAAGGAUUAGACCCAACUACUUUAGGGCCACCAUUGACAUUGAUUACUUUGAAUAAUUUUAAUUUAUAGGCAUAAAAAAUUAAUACAUAUCUUUAAGAGGAUCAAUUUUAGAUUAUCUCUCUCUCUCUCUCUCUAUUUUUUUUUUGGUUUUCAAAUAUUUGACAUUUUCGUUUAGAUAAGCUCUAGUGUGUGUUUUUUUAAGAUUAUUUUAAAUCAUGUUUCUUGAAAUGUCAAAAACAUUUCAUGGAUUAAUUUAACUUAAUAACGCCAAAGAAUUAGGAAUUAAAACUGACAAUUUCCACCAUGUAAGAGUACCUAAUUGAAAAUUUACUUUCUUAUCAUUUACCUCAAUUAAGCGGAAGCAUGAUCAUGAGAAGGGAUUUGGAGAAAGAAUUAUAAACAGAGAAUAAGAGAAAAUGUAAUGUGUAUAGAUUUUCUUAAUGAAUUAAUUAUGAUACAACAGAAGCUCAUAUAUAUAUAUAUAUACAUUCUAAACUAAUCAGUUAUGAAAUGUUAUUACAAAUAUAAUUUGAAUUUCAAUUUUAAAAUCAUGAUUAGUGCAGGUUUAUCAAUGCAGCAGAAUAUCCAUCAUAAACAAGAAGUUCACAGUUACAAAGUUUGAAUCUUUGUAACUGUAACUCUCUUUUGAAACUCUCUUCUUGGUCUUCAAUAUCCGUUAGCUAGCUGGAGAUGUAACAGUUACAAAGUUUGAAUCUUUGUAACUGUAACUCUCUUCUUGGUCUUCAAUGUCUGUCAGUUACAAAGUUUGAAUCUUUGUAACUGUAACUCUCUUAUGCUUAACAUUCCCCUGCAAACUGAUGGGGAUAGGAAUCACCAUCAAUUUGGACCGUAAAAACAUAAACCUUGCUGUAGUAUGACCUUUGGUGAAGACAUCUGCAAUCUGGUCAUAUGUUGAAAUAUAUCGUACAAGAAUAUCCUUAUUAAGAACUUUUUCACGGAUGAAGUGAUAAUCCACCUCUAUGUGCUUCGUUCGGGCAUGAAAAACAGGAUUAGAGGCAAGAGAUAUUGCACCUACAUUAUCACACCAUAGUGUAGGAGGUGACGACAAUGAAAUGCCAAGAUCUUGCAAUAACAUUCGAAGCCAAUAUAGUUCAGCAGUGACAAGAGCCAUGGAUCGAUAUUCGGCCUCAGUACUGGAUUUAGACACAACACUUUGUUUCUUUGCACUCCAGGAUAUGAGAUUUUGGCCUAGAAACACAAUAUAACCACUUGUAGAUUUUCUAUCAUCAGGAUUCCCAGCCCAAUCUGCAUCACAGAAAGCAUCUAAUGUUGUUGUCGAUUGAGUGUAGUGAAUACCAUAAUCAAUUGUUCCUUUCAAGUAACGAAGAACUCUUUUGGUAGCAAUCCAGUGUGGUUCUCGUGGAGCAUGCAUGAAUUGGCAUAAUUGGUUCACUGCAUAGCUGAUGUCAGGUCUUGUUAAAGUGCAAUAUUGAAGAGCACCAAUAACUUGAUGAUAUUCAGUUGGAUCAUUCAAUAUCCGUUAGCUAGCUGGAGAUGUAACAGUUACAAAGUUUGAAUCUUUGUAACUGUAACUCUCUUAUGCUUAACAUUUGGGAGGCACUUAGAUUAGGCUCUUCUCUAGUCUUGAGAAGCAAAACCAAUAGAGACGUGAUUGCGCACUCCCUGAGCUAUAUAGUAAGUGGCUGCAAACAAAUUGUCAGCACCAAUUCAGGUCCGGAAAAUUAAAGCAUUGAAGCAUAAAAGGUGACCUAACCUAAUUAAGCAAAUUACUACUUAUUCCAGCAUCACCUAGGAGUGAGACAGCCAGCCCAUCCAGUGUCUACAUGGUAAGGGAAUAAUUCCUUCAAGAAUGCAGAGAAAAUUAUACUUGCAAUACAACUAUAAACGAGAUGGUACAGUGCGGAAGGCAAGAUGUUAAAUCAAUUGAUCUUAUUAUAAUACUGUGAAAUAUGAUCAGGACAAAAAAAUAAAUAAAGAAAGAAAGAGUUGUUUAUUUUACAAUGAUCGAUAUGAUGCUUCUUUGCAUGUGGAAUCUUCGUCAAAGACUUGUUGAAAAUGCCAAAUUGUGAUCCACUUUUGGCUGUGUCAAAUGCAUGGGUGGGGCUUCACACAGAGCUAUUACCCCUUGUGUAAACUCAACGCCAGUUUUCAUGAGUUCUUUGGGAUUCUAACAUAGUAAAAAAAAGAAAGAUAAAAUAACAAAGUGUAAAGAAUAUUUAGUGAAAUAGAUAUUCGUGAUUAAUCAGUAGCAAUUAUUAUAUGCUGGCUCUCUCGGGUUUACUUGACAGAAGAUUUAUUAAAAAGAGUUGAUAAAGGAGAAAGAAAAGAAAAGAAAAUCUUCAAGGUAUAUCAAAACUCUGAUAAUAAUAUUAUUGGUAUUGUUAAAAAAAUCUCGACAAGACAAAUCGAAAAAUAACAAUGAAGGUCAUCAAUGACGAUAAAAAUAAGUCAUACGAGUGGCCCAAGAUAAGUGAGUUUUAAUACUUUUGAACAGCUUGUAUGAUUCAUUUUAUUCACUAUUUAUAAUCUUUUUUGAUGCUGUUAAAUUCAUCUUGUAAUGAUGUUGAUAAUGUUAUCAUUAUAAUUUCAAUGUAUUUUUAUUUUUAUUAUUAUUUUUUGUUUUGCUCUCUCUCCUCUCUCAUUGUAAUUUAUGAAGAGUAAGAGAGGGGGAAAAAAAAAACCCUAGUCUUCCAAUUUAAUCUGGCUGAAUACUACUAUCUCAAUCUUAUUCACUACUUUGUCAAAGCAAAGUAGAUUUUUCCUUAAAUAAGAUCUAAUCCACCGGCGGAUAGGUGAUCAAGAAUAUUAAAUUAGUGUAAAACUUGAUUUAAUUCAACAUUAUAAUUAGAGGUGCUAUAAUAAUGUGAAAAAAAGAAUAAAAAAACUAGAUGAUGGCGACCACAUAUCAAUAAUUCCAGACAUCACGUGGAGCACUUUCAUCAUCAUUAUUAUUAUUGGUAUAAUAAUGUUUGUUGUAUUAUUUUUUAAUUGUUAAGUUGUUUACUAUAUGUUAAAAUUUCAAGAUCUUCAAAGAUUGGGAAGAUCGGAUCUAAAGUUACUAUGGGACUGUCUUUAUUUUCCUAUUUGGAUUUUUUUAUUUAUAUUAAGAAUUUAAAUUUAAUUAGUAUUUUAUUAUUUAAAAAUUUUAAUGGUAAAUUGAUUCUAUUAGUUAGGUAAAUUUUAAAUAUAAAUUAUUUUUCUAUACAAAAUUUUAAAUCUAGAACUAAUAUAAAUAAAAAUAUUUAGUUUAUUUUUGUUCGAGGAUUCAUAUUAUUAUUUAAAUUUUUUUAUAAAUAUUUAGAGAUUUUUUCUAAUUUCCUAUGGUGUUAGGGAUUAUAACCUUAAGGUUUGGUUUGAAAUAAUGAUGACAGUUAUUUCUUAAAGUGUUUUUCACUUGAAAAUACAUUAAAAUAAUAUUUUUUUUAUUUUUUAAAUUUUUUUUUGAUAUCAGCAUAUCAAAACAAUUCAAAAACACCAAAAACUUAAUUUGAAAAAAAAUCAAAAUUUAUAAAAACCCCGGUUAAAAUGUUUUACCAAACACUUCUUAGUUUUUAAUAUUAAUACAUCAAAACAAUCCAAAAAUAUUAAUUUAAAAUUUUUAAAAACUCCGGUUGCGUUUGUAAGAUGUGUUGCGGCUCUCAACUUGCUACAAUGGCCUUUCUUUAAUAUUUUAUUUACACCAUUCAUGGAACCCUCUUUGCCUUCCACACAAAUCCCGGAUUUUGGUGAAACUGCUAAGAGGAAAAAUGAAGAGCUUUCCAAAGGCCAUGCUAAAACUACAAAGAAGUGAUCUCUACCUUUCCAGAAGUUAAAGGCUUUUGGGACGUUCCGCUCUUCUUGGGAAGACUCAUGUCAGUUCAAGAACACUACAAGCCUCAAUCCACUGAUAUAUUUGUCGCCAGCUUUCCAAAAACGAAGGAAAUCUUUGGUUAAUGUUCUCUGAAUCUCUCCUUUUCUCCUUCAAGAGUGAAAUUUAUGUGCCUUUCGUACCUUUUUACGUUAGAACAUUUCAUUUGUUCUUGUUUUCUAAAUUGAGUCUUUUCUAUGCGUUUUAUUAUUUUAUUUAUUGGGUAUUUGAGAGUGUAGUAAUAGUUAUAAUUUAAAGUGUUUUUAUUCAAAAAUAUAUUAAAAUAAUAUAUAUUUUUAAUUUUUUAAUAUUCAUCUUUUGACAACAUCACUCCAAAACAUUAGAAAACAUAAAAAAAAAAAAAACAAUUAGAAAACAAUUAGAAAACGCAAGAUUGCAUCAAUGCUAAAUGCAAUAUAUAUAUAUAGGUGCGCGCGCGCGCGUGUGUGAGAGAGAGAGAGAUCCACCUGUGUGUGAAAUGCAUAGUGAUGUUCCACAGCGAGCCAUUAUCUAUUAUGUAAAAUCUCUGAGAAAUGUCAUAGAUCAAUUGGUCGAUAUAGCAAAUUGAUAGGUUAAAGCUGCUCAUAAUCAAUACCUCUAAAAGAUUAUCUUUGGUGGAGAUGAAAACUUUUUGAUAUGUAAAUAAGUAUUUAAAAAAAAAUUAAAUAUUCUAUAAAGAGAUGUUCUGAAAAUACAAAUGCAGUAGAGAAUUGGAGAUUGUGAAUCUUUAUUAUGAAGGUCUCAUGAUAUAUUUAUAGCUCGAAUCUUGUCAUUUUGUGAAAAUAAGAGUUUGCAGUGUAAUUAACCUGAUAACAUUUAAUGAGGAAUAAAUAUCAUUUACAUGAUGGGAAUAUGGUGGGUCCUCGAAGGAGUUUUAUACACCUUAAAAGGUAUCAGAAAAUUAGAGUUUAAGAUAUCAAGUGUAGCUGAGCUUAUAGAGAUCAAGUUCUUUCUUGAGAUUAAAUCCAAGGGAGGUUUGUCAUUCCCCUGGACAUGCCAAGGAAGAAUGGUUAUUAUCUUGGACUUGGUUGGUUGCCAAAUCCAAGCAUCUUGGGCAUGACAUGCGUGCCAGAUCCACACUACCUUGAAGUUGGAGCACUACUAAGUCCAAGCGCCUCGGGUCUGACAUGCAUGCCAGACUUAUACUACGCUGGACUUGGUGCAUUACUAAGUCCAAAUGCCUUGGGUCUGAUAUGCCUGUUAGACCUAUAUUAUCUUGGGCUUGACGCAUUACUAUAUUCAAGCACCUUGAACUUAAUUAAUUGUCAAGUCCAUGCAUCUUAGAUUUAGAUCUAACAUAUACACUAGACUCAUAUUACAUUGAAUCUAGCGCAUUACAAAGUUAUAAUGCCUUGAAUUAAGUAUAUGUGCCACAUCCAUACAUUUUAAAAAACCAAACGAAAACUAAAUAAAAAGUUGACUCAUCGCUAAUCUAUAAAUACUAUCUACAUAAUGGCCUUAGUUGAUAUCUUCUACCGCUUACUACAUUUACUUGAAUAAUGAAAAUGUUUUUUUUUUUUAAUGGAAAAGAGAUUUUAACUCCAUCUUCAAUUACUAUAUAAAUGUUUCCUUGGGUUUUGAAAACGCAAUCAUGCUAAAAAUUUAUUAUCUAAUAUAAAAUAAAAUGUAUUUGUUUUUAUAUUUUAAAAAUGUUUUUUUUUUAAUUUUUUAAUUUUCAUCUUGUUUUGAUGUGUUAAUAUUAAUAAUAAAUUUUAAAAAUAAAAAAAAUAUUAUUUUAAUAUAUUUUUUAAAUUAAAAAUAUUUUAAAAAAUAACUAUUACAACAUUAACGAAUAAGAUUUAAUAUAAAAAACAUUCUAAUUGCAUCAGCUGAGAGGUGAUCAACAAUACCGCAUUCCCGAACUUCACAUCCCUAUAUUAAUGGAUUGUGUUGUGGGCUCCACGCCAUUUAAAGCUUGUAAGAGAAACCACACCUCUAAAUAGAAACCACACGAUCACGCUAAAAGAUUUGCUAUCGAAUAUAAUAUGAAAUAAAACCCAAUUGCAUCAGCGGACAUGUGAUCAAUAAUAUUAAAAUAAGGUAAUAGUUGAUGGGCCACAAAUUAAACCAGCUCUCAACUCGCUACAAAUAGCUGCCAUGGCCUUUCAUUCUACGUUAUAUUUUCAUUUUUUACAUUCAUGGAAUCCUCUUUGCCUUCCACCCAAAUCUCGGAUUCUGGUGACAGUGCAGAGAGGAAAAAUGAAGCUAAAAAUUACAAUGAAGUGAUGUCCACCUUUCCGAAAGUUAAAGGCUUGAAUGGGUAUGAUUAUUACCUGUACCAAGGCUUUUGGUACGCUCCCUUCUUCUUGGAAGGACUCUUGUCUGUUCAAGAGCGCUUCAAUCCUCAAUCCACUGAUAUAUUUGUCGCCAGUUGUCCAAAAACUGGCACAACUUGGCUUAAGGCCCUCACUUUUGCUAUUUUCACACGAUCCCGUUUAAGUGGUUCAACAACUAGUUCUUUACUUACCAAGAUGCCACAUGACUGUGUUCCUUUUUUGGAAUAUCACCUUGCUCAAAACCCCAGUAAUCGGGACUUGGCAAUUCCUCUGGUAUCUACUCAUGUUCCUUGCACUUGUUUACCUAAAUCUAUCAUUUCUUCUUGUUGCAAGAUUAUUUACAUUUCCAGGGACGCAAAGGAUGCUUUUGUUUCUUUGUGGUACUUUCUUGCCAGGCUGCAAAUGUCGAAAAAUGUUGAACCUCUUCCUCUGGAAGAGGCAUUUGAGUUGUUUUGCAAUGGAAUUGCAAAUUUUGGACCAUAUUGGGACCAUGUUUUAGGGUAUUGGAGAGCAAGCUUCGAGUUCCCUGAUAUUGUUCUUGACAUACGAGGAAAUGAAGAAAGACACCGCUGCUCAUGUUAAGAAACUAGCUGAGUUCAUGGGUUGUUCUUUCUGUUGCAUUAAACUCAAUCUAGAAGGUUAAGGAAGGCAACCACCACUUGCAGCCACUAGCUGUCACCGCCUAGCCGCCAGCCGUCUUCAUACUUGAAAGUUGAAUUAUCUUGUUUUUGAAUUCUGUGUAUAAAUAGAUAGCUAAGUGGAUGUUAUUCUGUGUGGAAAGAGAAGAAAGAAACACUAGAGAGAAAGAGAGAGGGAGUGUGUAGCUUUUGUUUAAUUAUUGUAAGCUUUUAUUGUUGAAAUAAAACAGUGUGUUUUAUCUCUUCUGAGUGUUUCAAAGCCACCACCAGUGGUUUCUCCCACCAACAAUUGGUAUCAGAGCCUCGUUCGUCACAAAACACAAGUAUUUUGGGAGAUACACGAAUUUUCAAAGUUGUCAAAAACAAUUUUUGAUCAUUCCACAAUGUAGAGCUCAUCCAUACGAACUCACUGGUGCAAAAAUCAGCUUCAUCGGAGCCCGAGGUGAUCCCCACGCGCCUCCUGAAAUUCCGGUAACUGUAGCCCAGUCUCACCCACGCGCUCCAGAGGUUGAAGACGCCAGAGGUUGAAGACGAGUGUCGUCCACGCGCGCCAUAUUCGAGCCGAUCCCCAGCCGAGCCGAUCUUUAGCCUCAGCCGAGCCGAUAGAAUAUUCCCCAGAAUAUUCCCGGUUCAACCCCAGCGAACCGCCUAACGUCCAGAAUCGGUUUUCAGACCGGUUCAGCCUAUUUCUGACCCAUUUUCAUCCAAGUCAGGCCGGUUCCCUACUGUUUUGAGCAUUCUGGAUCCAUCUACGGUGUCUGUUUUGCCAAAUUCAACUCCCAGAAGGUGAUAUAGUCAUUCAAAAAGCAAAAUGACUACAGAAAAUGCACAAACACUCAUCCCGAAGCUGACCAAAGACAACUAUGAUAGUUGGUGUAUCAGAUUGAAGGCAUUUCUUGGUUUACAAGAGUGUAUAGAGAUUGUGCAAUAUGGUUAUGAUGAACCAGAGUCUAAAGAAGUAGAAGAUACUUUAAAUGAGGCAGAAAAGCAAGUCCUCAAAGCAAAUAGAAAGAAAGACAACAAAGCAAAGACCAUAAUCUAUCAAGGUCUUGACGAAGCUAUAUUCGAAAUUAUUGCUUCCGCAGAAACAUCAAAAGAGAUAUGGGAGGCUCUCCAACAAAAAUACAAAGGUGCUGACAGAAUCAAGAAGAUUCGUCUCCAAUCUUUGCGAGGUGAGUUUGAAUUAUUGCAAAUGAAGGCCUUAGAAUCUAUUUUUGACUAUCACACAAGAAUUAUGGUGAUAGUCAAUCAGAUGAGAAGAAAUGGAGAAGCCCUCACAGAUGCUCGGAUUACAGAGAAAAUUUUGAGAUCCCUAUAUCCAAAAUUUUAUUUUGUUGUUGUCGUUAUUGAAGAGUCCAAAGAAGUGGACAAGUUGAUGGUGGAUGAGCUUAUGAGUUCUUUGCAAGCUCAUGAGCAAAAGAUCGUGAAAAGAAAUGGAGAUAAGGCAAUUGAGCAUGCCUUACAAGCAAAGUUGUCUCUCAAAGACAGAUAUGAGCAAGGGGAGACUUCAAUAAGUGGAUAUACCACUCAAGGAAGAAGUCCACAAAGACGAGGAGGAUUUCAGCAAUUCCAAGGAAGAGGAUCUUGGAAUACAGGUUUUAGAGGAAGAGGUGGCAGAUAUACCACUAGAGGAGGCCGAGGACAACAAUCAUUCACUCCUAAAGGAAGAGGAGGCGGUUACAAUAACCGUGACAAGAGGAAUAUCCAGUGUUAUAAGUGCAAUCAAUUUGGGCACUAUAGCAUUGAAUGUCAAAGGAAAGCUCCAUUAGAGGUACGUGAGCAUGCAAACUAUGCAGAGGAGGAUGCCAACAGCAGAGGAGCAGCUGCAUUAUUUGUCCAACAAGGACUUGACAAGAAUCAAGAGAAUAUUUGGUAUCUUGAUUCUGGAGCCAGCAAUCACAUGUGUGGCCAACGAGAUCUAUUUGGCGAUCUAGAUGAGACCAUACAAGGUCUAGUCACCUUUGGAGAUACAUCAAAAGUUCCAUUCAAAGGUAAAGGCAACAUCCCAAUCAAGUUGAAGAAUGGCGAUCAUAGCUACAUCGCCAAUGUCUACUAUGUCCCAGCCAUAAAGCAAAACUUGGUGAGCAUAGGUCAACUUCUAAAGAAAGGUUAUACACUUUUCAUGAAGAAUUGUCAUCUGACAGUUACAGACUACAAUGGGAGAUUAAUUGCCUAUGUGAAAAUGUCCAAGAAUAGGAUGUUUCCUUUAAACAUCCAAUAUGAUGCAGCAAAGUAUUUGAGUGCCAUCACCAACAGUGAAGAGUGGCUUUGGCACCUGAGGCUUGGACAUCUGAAUUUCACAAGUCUGAAGAUGCUAGCAAGCAAGAAGAUGGUCAAAGGUAUGCCCCACAUUGAUCAUCCAGAUGAAGUCUGUGAGAGUUGUGUCCUCAGCAAACAUCACAGAUCCAAUUUUGCCAAAGAAGUCAACUGGAAAGCAAACAAGCCACUGGAGUUAGUGCACACAGAUGUGUGUGGUCCCAUAAAGCCUAUGUCGACUGGACCAAAUAGGUACUUCCUUACUUUCAUUGAUGAUUUUAGCAGAAAGACGUGGAUAUACUUUCUGAAGAGGAAGUUAGAAGUGUUCAAUUGUUUUAAAGAUUUUAAAGCAAUUGUUGAGAAGCAAAGUGGCUAUAAGAUCAGAACCGUGAGAUCUGAUCAAGGUGGAGAAUAUACAGCAAAUGACUUUGAAGCCUUUUGUACACAACAAGGCAUCAAACAUCAGACAACACCAGCUUAUACACCACAGCUGAAUGGUGUAGCUGAAAGAAAGAAUCGAACGAUUCUUGACAUGGCGAGAAGUCUACUCAAAGCAAAGAAGCUGCCCAAACAAUACUAGGCUGAAGCUGUAUCAUGUGCAGUGUAUCUACUGAAUCGCUGCCCAACCAAAAGUUUGCAAGCUGUCACUCCACAAGAAGCAUGGAGUGGUCACAAACCAAGUGUUACUCAUCUUCGAGUCUUUGGUUGUGUGGCAUAUGCAAAGAUCCCAGAUGCAAGAAGGACCAAACUCGAUGAUAAAAGCGAGAAAUGCAUCUUUGUCGGAUAUGGUGAGAGAAAGAUGGGAUACAAGCUGUAUAAUCUCAUCACAAAGAAGGUAAUUAUGAGUAGAGAUGUUAUCUUUGAAGAAGAUAAAACAUGGCAAUGGAAGGAUGACCAAGAAGCAGUCAAAUGGAUCAGCACUGAUUUGAUCCUUGAAGAUGAAGUGGAAGUACCACCAGUACUUGCAGAAGGUCUGAUAUUACCGGCAGAUGAGCCACAAAGUUCGGUACACAGAUUCCCUGUAUUCAACAGGAGAAACACACCAGAAUCAUCAUCAGCAUCCUCAUCAGAAGGACCAAGAAGGAUGAGAAAUCUAGACGAGUUGUACGAUGUCAUGCAAGUCAUGGAAGAUACAACUCUAUUUUGUUUCUUUACAGAUACUGACCCACUUAGCUUCAAUGAAGUUAUCAAAGAAGAGAAGUGGAUAUAAGCAAUGGAUGAAGAAAUACAUGCUAUUGAGAAGAAUGACACCUGGAAGCUGACUAAUCUACUAGAAAACAAGAAAGCAAUAGGUGCCAAAUGGGUCUAUAAGACAAAGAAGAAUGCAAAAGGAGAAGUGCAAAGAUACAAAGCAAGAUUAGUAGCAAAAGGCUACAAAUAAAGAGAAGGCAUUGACUAUGGAGAAGUAUUUGCUCCAGUAGCCCGGCUAGAGACAAUCAGACUGAUGAUCUCACUAGCUGCACAACAUAGAUGGAAGAUCUAUUAACUCGAUGUGAAGUCAGCAUUUCUGAAUGGCUUCCUAGAAGAAGAGAUCUAUGUUGAACAACCACUUGGAUACAUCGAAGCUGAAAAUGACGGCAAAGUAUACAAGUUGAAGAAAGCUCUCUACGGUUUGAAGCAAGUUCCGCGUGCUUGGAAUACCAGAAUUGACAGGUAUUUUCAAGAAAAUGAAUUUGAAAAAUGUCCAUAUGAACACGCAAUAUAUGUGAAGAAAGAAGCAGAUAACAACAUAUUAUUUGUGUGCCUAUAUGUUGAUGAUUUGCUAUUCACCGGCAACAACCCAACCAUGUUUGAAGCCUUCAAGAAAAGCAUGGUACAAGAGUUUGAGAUGACAGACAUUGGUCUGAUGGCACACUUUCUUGGCUUAGAAGUGGUGCAGAAAGAAGAAGGGAUUUUUGUAUCCCAAAGCAGUUAUGCCAAAGACAUUCUUGAAAGGUUCAAGAUGGAAAGCUGCAAUCCGGUAUCAACUCCAGUUGAGAAUGGAGUAGAAUUGAGGAAGAGUAAAGUUGGAAAUGUUGAUCCAACUUACUUCAAAAGCUUAGUAGGAAGCUUAAGGUACUUGACAUGUACCAGACCGGAUAUACUCUACGGAGUUGGUCUUAUCAGCAGAUACAUGGAGACACCAGACCAGUCUCACUUGAAUGCAGCCAAGAGAAUUCUUCGCUACAUCAAAGGAACAAUCAAUGAAGGUAUGUUUUAUACCUCAAGUACAAACUUCAAUCUUGUUGGCUACUCGGAUAGUGAUUGGGGUAGAGAUCUGGAUGAAAGGAAAAGCACAACAGGGUUUGUCUUUUUCAUGGGAAAUACAUUUUUCACAUGGUCAUCCAAGAAGCAAUCGAUAGUAACGUUAUCAAGCUGUGAAGCUGAGUAUGUUGCUGCCAACUCAGCUGUAUGCCAUUUAAUAUGGUUAAGAAAUAUGCUGAAGCAUUUGGGAUUUCCUCAAGAAGAUCCCACAGAGAUUUAUAUUGAUAAUCGAUCAGCGAUUGCAUUAGCAAAGAACCCGGUGUAUCAUGAACGAAGUAAACACAUUGAUACACGUCAACACUUUAUCCGAGAGCAUAUAAAGAACAAAGAAGUCGAGCUGAUAUCCUGCAAGACAAAUGAUCAAGUUGCAGAUAUCUUUACAAAGCCAUUGAAGGGAGAAACAUUUAUCAGACUGAAGUUCAUACUUGGCGUGACAUCCCUCGAUUAAGUUUAAAGGGGGGAUUUGUUGCAUUAAACUCAAUCUAGAAGGUCAAGGAAGGCAACCACCACUUGCAACCACCAGCUGUCACCGCCCAGCCACAAACCGCCCAGCCGCCAGCCACUAGCUGUAUGCCGCCAGCCUCCAGCCGCCUUCACACUUGAAGGUUGAAUUAUCUUGUUUUUGAAUUCGUGUAUAAAUAGGUAGCUAAGUGGAUGUUAUUCUGUGUGGAAAGAGAAGAAAGAAACACUAGAGAGAAAAGAGAGGGAGUGUGUAGCUUUUGUUUAAUUAUUGUAAGCUUUUAUUGUUGAAAUAAAACAGUGUGUUUUAUCCCCUCUGAGUGUUUCAAAGCCACCACCAGUGGUUUCUCCCACCAACACUUUCACCUUAGAGGAAGAGGAGGAAGGGGAGGUGCAAAAGAUAAUAAGCAUGUGUAGUUUUGAGAAGUUGAGCAACUUGGAGGUGAAUAAAAAUGGGAAGCACCGUCCGGACACAUCAAUUGCUAUUCAAAACAGUGUAUACUUCAGGAGAGGUGAGAUAGGCGACUGGGCAAAUCACUUGACACCUGAAAUGGGAGCACGUCUAGAUGACAUAAUGGAGCAGAAACUCAAGGGUUCAGGCUUGAAGCUGCCGAGGUGAAUGUGCCUAGGGUCCCAUUUGCUUGUGAUUAUUGCCGAAGCGGGUUCAUCAAAAGCUGUUAUCAACAUCUCGUGAAACAGCAACUGUGUAUCCCAAUAAAUACCCUCUCUGUUCAUCUCUUGUAUUUCCCAGCAAGUAUUCACAUUUUGUGAAUCAUCCAUGUCAAUAAGCAAUGUUCUUUGUGAAUCUGUGUUUUUGACUUUCAUUCAUUUCCUUGCAUGCUUGUAAGAAUUAAAAAUUGGAUUCGUUUUUUUUAUUUAUUUAUUUAACACAAGUUCAUGCAUUCCAUUAAUCAGUUCGAUAAAAAAUAAAUUUAGUCUAAUAUAUAAUAUUAGAGUGUUUUCUUCACAGAAAUUGCAGUGUGUUUUCUUCAGUUAUACAUGUUUUAAAAGAACCGAGACAACCAUCCAUUAAGAUUGUUGAAUUGCAGAUCAAAUGAACGUAGGCGGCACAUCUGCUGAAAGGAUCUCGAAAUGCCUUGUAAUUGGUUAAAAUAAAGAUCAAGAUCUGUAGGAGAACUCGUGUUUUCCACUCCUAAAAUAAGCCCAGUUGCCGGCUUCAUGUGCAACAGAGGCACAUAGAGAAUCUGAAAGCAGUUUUUAUGCACUGUCAGCAGAAUAAUUUGAUCAGUCAGAAUGAUUCCCCCCCUCUAGGGCUCAGAUCACAAUUCUUCCUUGAAACAAAUCUUUUGGAACCGAUAUGUGGAGGGAUGGCUUGAUUUAUACCGGAGAUUUUGUUGGAAAAUUAAAGAAGCAUGGCUUAAUUUGUACCUUGGAUGCGCAAAUUGAUUAGAGGGAAAAAAUGACAGAAAGUGAGUUACAGGGAAUGAAAAAGGCAUUAGUAAACUCAACACCUUUCAGGGCAUCGUUCCUUGGUUUACUCCGUUUUAUUUCUUAUUUUGUUUUUCCUGCCAUUGUCUAAUGUUUUUCGAACUCACAGUCUGGUCUCUGCAGAGAAUGAGAAAGCACAAAUUCUUUAAGAGAAGAUAUUCUCCGGCAAUGGCAUCAAACGGAAAAGUCCGACGUCAACUAAGUGUGUGUUUGGUGUUGCGGCCGUGUUUACAAAAAAACAUCGUUGUCAUGUGUUUGGUUACGGUCUAAACACAAUUUUCUAUUUGUGGGACCCAUUACUAUUUGCAUUUAAACUGCAAGAUAACCGGAAGCAACUUCAAGUUGCUUUUUAUGAUUAGUUGCAAACUAUGUUAUAAACAGAGGCCACAAGAAAAAGAGCAGAAAUAGAGCAGUGAAUAGUGAACAGUAGAGAGCAGCUGCCUCUCACCACCAACCUCCACCGUUUUCACUGCCAGCCACUGCUCUUCCUCUUCCCCUUCUCCCUUUCACGUGAACUGUGGAGAGUGGAGAGCAGCUCACCACCGACCUCCGCUGUUUCCAUCGCCAGCCACUGCUCUUCCUUUUCCCCUUCUCCUUUUCACGUGAAUAGUGGAGAGUGGAGAGCAGCUCACCACCGACCUCUGCUGUUUCCAUCGCCAGCCACUGCUCUUCCUCUUCCCCUUCUCCUUCAUCUUUUACGUUCUCCACUGUUAAUGUGAACAGUGGAAAGCAGCUCAUUACCGGCCUCUGCCAUUUUCACCGCCAGCCACUGCUCUUCCCCUUCCCCUUCCCCUUCGUCUUCUGCAUUCUCCACUGUUCACGUUGCAUGUGAACAGUGGAGAGUAGCUCACCACCGGCCUCCAUUGUUUCCACCGCCAGCCAUUGCUCUUCCUCUUCCCCUUCUCCUUCUCCUUCAUCUUCUGUAUUCUCCACUGUUCACGUGAACAGUGGAGAGCGUCUCCACUGUUCAUGACCGGACCGAGUCAAACCCAAACCUAAAUGCAUUGGACCGGGUCCGACCCAAUAAAAUUAAAAAAAAUCCAAAAAAAUUUCUUAGAUAUUGUGUUUUAUUUGAAAAACUAGUGUUUAAAAUUAUUCAAUGGCACUACAUAAUUAUAUUAGGAGAUCGCAUGAUAACGUAACAUUUGCAUAAUUUGAUUGCAAUCCCAAUUUUGUUCCUAAUGAUAUUUUACCCAAUGUGAUGAUAUUUUACCUGAUGUUGGUGCACAUUCAGGAAGCCAUGAAAACUAUAGUUCUUGUCGGAUGGAUUUCGUACGUGAUUGAAUUGCAAAUAGUUUAAUAAAACAAUAAAAAAUACUUUAUAUAAAGUAUUGUUUAUUUCAUGAUUUAAUAGCAGUAGUUAAAUCUAUAAUAUUUCAAUUAAAAACCAUCAAUAUUAAUAUAUGUUUUUUUUAAUUAUUUUAUAACCUUAAUUUGAAAAAUAUUCUUUAAACCAAACACAUUAAACUACUUUUUGUUCAACCUCAAUUUCAACCACAAUUUUAACCAAAUAUAUAUUUUUUCAAACCAACCUCAACUAAAAGUAAUUUUUAUAAAAACAACUUUUUCAAACUAUAACCACAACAGCUACCACAAUUCCAAAUACACACAAAGAAAACUGUACUGAUAAGCAAGUUAAAGUGCCACCAUUGAUUUAGGAUCUGCUUUAGAUCUUAUAAGGUGAAAGUAAAACACAAGGAAAUGCAUGCAUGCACACCACUAAUCUUUGAUUCUGGCGAGAACAGUGAUGACAACCAUAUAGAAUUACAUUCCAAGAUGAAGAAAUUAAUAACAGAGCAGUGCUAUAAAGCUAAAUGUGAGAACCAGAGAUUAAUAAGCAAUGCUGAAAAUUUUAUCAUGCAUAAGAUGAGAGAAGCAUAGGACAGAUUUUUCCCUCAAAUGAUUAACUAGAAUACGAGUUGCACUUCAAUUUUAAAGCUGAAAGAUGAAACAAUCAUACAAGCUCACACCUCUAUAACAGAGUGACAGUUCAUGGUGACCUCAAAGACUGCAUCAAGUCCUCCAAGCUCUCGUAACUUUUCCUUAAAGUCCCCCCCCAGUCUUCCUUGCCAUGCCAGAUGUAUCUGAAUGAAUGCAACCCAUACAGUGAAAUAAAUAAGCAAUCAGAAAAGGAGAGAGAGAGCUGUGUGAAUAAAGAAUUGUCACAAAACUAGAUGAUGGCGACCACAUAUCAAUAAUUCGAGACAUGACGUGGGGCACUUUCAUCGUGAUUAUUGUCUGUACAAUAAUGUUUGAUGCAUUAUUUCUUGUUAAGACUUUUUAGGUUGUGAAAAGUCCAAGAUGUAGCUUUUGAUUUUAUCAUUUAUAUUAAAUUGAAAUUUUGACAUAAAAUUCUAAAGAUUUUGUGGUUAAAAUUUCAAGAUCUUCGAAGAAAGACCUUUAAAUAAGGAUUUAAAGUUAUUAUGAGAUGGUCUUUAUUUACCUAUUUAGAUUUUUUUAUUUAUAUUAAAAAUUUUAAUUCAAUUAGUAUUUUACUAUUUAAAAAUUCUAAUAAUAGAUUGAUUAUAUUAAUAAUACAAAUUAUUUUUCUAUACAAAAUUUUAUUUCUAGAAUUAAUAUAAAUAAAAAUAUUUAGUUUAUUUUUUUGUUCAGGAUUCAUAUUAUUAUUUAGAUUUUUUAUAAAUAUUUAGAGAUUUUUUUUAUUUUGCUACUGUGUUAGGACUAUAACUUUAAGGUUUGGGUGUUUGGGAAAGUUAUAGCGGUUACGUUUUAAAGUGAUUUUUAUUUAAAAAUACAUCAAAAUAAUAUAUAUUUUUUAUUUUUAAAAUUAAUUUUUGACAUCAAAACAAUGCAAAAACACCAAAAAAUUAAUUUGAAAAAAAAUUAAAAUUUUUGAAAACCUUGAUUAAAAUGUUGUACCAAACACCCUCUUAGUUUUAUCUUAUUUUUAAAAAAAUAAUUCUUAACAUUAGCAAUCAAAACAAUCUAAAAACAAAAAAAUAAUUUUAAAAAAAUCAAAAUCUUUAAAAACUCCCGUCUAAAUGUUUCCUUUUAGUUUUAUCAUUGUUGCACUGCGUAAUGAUGCUCAAAAGGAAAUAGUUGAUAUAGCCGUACUUGGGGUAUUUAAGAAUGUGAUAGCGGUUACUUUUUAAAAUGUUUUUCGUUUAGAAAUGUAUCAAAAUAAUAUUUUUUUAUUUUUAAAAAAUUAUUUUUGAUAUCACCAUAUCAAAAUGAUAUGAAAACACUAAAAAAAUAUUAAUUUAAAGUAAAAAAAAUAAAAAAAAUUAAUCUUUUAUUAAAAUAUUUUUGAAAUACAGAAAUACUACGAGCUCUCAACCUGCUACAAAUAACUGCUGCAAUGGCCUUUCUUUAAUAUUUUACUUACACCAUUCUGCAAAAUAUUUUCUUUUGUACAUCCAUGGAACCCUCUUUGCCUUCUACACAAAUUCAAAGUCCAUGCUAAAAACUACAAAGAAAUGAUCUCUACCUUUCCAAAAGUUAAAGGCUUUUGGUACUUUCCGUCCUUCUUGGGAACACUCAUCUCAGUUCAAGCAAUCCACUGAUAUAUUUGUCGUCAGCUUCCAAAAACGAAGGAAAUCUUUGGUUAAGUUAAAACUCCUUUUCUCCUUCAACAGUGAAAUUCACGUGCCUUUCACACCUUUUUAAGUUCGAACAUUUCAUUUGUUCUUGUGCUCUAAAUUGAGUCUUUUUUGUGAGUUCUAUUAUUCUACUGUGUUUGGUUUAGCUUUUGUAGUUGAGGUUGUGGUAGGGUACAUGUACAAAACUCAACCACAAAAGCUAAUUUUUCUUGUUUUUUAUGGCUUUUUUAGUGGGUUCCACACUCAACCUCAACCUCCAUCUCAAAUACAAACACACACUAAAAGAUUAGAAAACGCAAGAUUGCAUCAAUGCUAAAAGCAAUUUCAAUCUCAAUGUGUGUGUCAAAUGCAUGGUGAUGUUUCAUGAUAUGUUUGUUUUGACGUUUCAAAAAUAUUUUUUUUAAACUGAAUUUUUUUAAUUUAUUUUUCGCUUCAAAUUAAUAUUUUUUGUUUUUUCAGAUUAUUUUGAUGUACUGUUGUUAAAAAUAAUUUUUUUUAAAUAAAAAAUAUUAUUUUAAUACAUUUCCGAGCAAAAAUCACUUUAAAAAAUAAUUGUUAUUACACUUCCAAACACAUCUUUAAAAGGACAAAGUUAUGGAGUUGAGGGCUCUAAAUAUUCCUCAAAAUAUCUGGCCUCAAAGCUAUUAUCGAGUCUUAAAGCUUUUGCUUUUUAUAUUGUUUUGAUGUAAAAAAUAAAUUUUAAAAAUAAAAAAAUAUUAUUUUAAUAUAUUUUUAAAUAAAAAAAUAUUUUAAAAAACAAUUACAGUAAAAUAACAAAUAAAAUAUUAAUAUGAAAUAAAAUCUAAUUCUACCAGCAGACAGCUGAUAAGAAUACUAAAAGAGUGUAAAUUUUGACUUAAUUCAAUAUUUCAAUUAUUAGAAUUUGGGGCAGCGUAACAGUGUCAAAGAAAAUGUCAGAAAAGUAAGGAAAACAGUACAAAUACCUUGGAUGAUGGUGACCAAAUAUUUGUAAUUUGAGACAUCUCGUUCUUGAAAAGAAUAGUUAAUAGUGCCAAUAAUAUUUUUUUUUAUUCACGUGACGGGUGAGCUUGUGUGUAUCUCGAUUAAUUCCCACGAAUCCUGAAAUUAAUGAUCAGGUAAGUUUCCAGUGGUCAUCAAUAUUAACAACCAUAUGGCUCGAACCUGAGACCACAAGGAGGAGCAAACCUCUUGAUCUCAAACUCUUACUAUUAGACUGCCUAUUAGAUGGUUAGUGCUAAUAAUUAAUCUGCUCUUGACUUGCUACAAAUAGCUGUCAUGAUCACAUAUUCAAAAAACACUAGUUUAUAAAUUCUAAGGGUAUCUCAACUAGUUAGACUUUAAGUAUGUUUUCCAAUAAUUAUGAGUUCGAGUCCUUUUAAGAUAAUUGAAGGUUUACACGGCGUUAACUUCAGGACCCAUAAAAUUAAUCGAGAUAUAUACAAGUUGAUUCAGAUAACCAUAUUAAUUUAAAAAAACAAACACUAGUCUAGAAAAGCAAUAUACAAGGUGAUUUUUUAGUUGACUAGUUGAAUCUGAUUUUUAUAAAAAGUAAUAUUUUAGAAGAUAAUUUUUAAUAAUUUUAGAUUUUUUAAUAUAUAAAUAUCAAAAAUAAAUUUUAAAAAAUAAAAAAAUAUUAUUUUAAUAUAAUUUUAAAUAAAAAAACAUUUGAAAAAACAAUUAAUAGUAUACUCUCAACUACCCCAAAAUAUAGGAUUAAAUUGGAUUGCGGGUUCCCCACCAUUUAAAGCUUGCAAAGAAGGAUUUGAAACACAAUCACCCUAAAGAUUUGCAAAUGGAAUAUAAUAUAAAAUAAUACCCAAUUGCAUCAGCGGACAUGUAAUCAAUAAUAUUAAAAUACGGUAAAUUUUGAUUUAAUUCAAUUAUUGGAUUCUAGGCAGCGUGACAAUGUCAGAAAAUCUUGGAUGAUGGUGACCAAACAUAUCAGUAAUUUGAGACAACACGUUCCCGAAAGGUAAUAGUUGAUGGUGCCAAAAUUUAAACCAGCUCUCAACUCGCUACAAAUAGCUGCCAUGGCCUUUCAUUCUACCAUAUAUUUAUUUUUUAACUUUCAUGGAAUCCUCUUUGCCUUCCUCCCAAAUCUUGGAUUCUGAUGGAAGUGCUGAGAGGAAAAAUGAAGCUACAAAUUGCAAUGAAGUGAUGUCCACCCUUCCAAAAGUCAAAGGCUUGAGGGGGGAUGAUUAUUACCUGUACCAAGGCUUUUGGUACGAUGCCUUCUUCUUGGAAGGACUCAUGUCUGUUCAAGAGCACUUCAAUCCUCAAUCCACUGAUAUAUUUGUCGCCAGUUUUCCAAAAACUGGCACAACUUGGCUUAAGGCCCUCACUUUUGCUAUUUUUACACGAUCCCGUUUAAGUGGUUCAACAACUAGUUCUUUACUUACCAAGAUGCCACAUGACUGUGUUCCUUUGUUGGAAAAUGAC